ensembl:lncRNA
GGAUCCUGGGCACAAGUCACCAAAACGAAAUUUUAAGAGGCGUAAACCUCAUCCCCACUGAGACCUCUUCAUGAAAACAGGAGUUGUGAAGGUUCCCUAGAUGAUUUCUUGGUAAGAAUUCUCAGCAACUGUAGAGAUCUGGAGGCCAGAGUUGAAAAGUUUUACAAUAUAGCCAAUUAUCUAAUUUUUAGUGUACUGAUAAAAAUUCUUUAAGCUUCCUUAUGGACACAAAUGACAGAUGAGGAAAAGUUUACUGAAAAUGGAGUUUCUCUUCUGUUUGCUUCAACUGGAUUUUUUAAAGUAAGGUUGAAAGUCCUCCAGAAAUGAAAUGACAAUUGAUCCAGAGAAGGUAAGUCAGAAUUAUACAAAGGGUAGCUUGUGGCAGGCUGAACAAACCCCACAAGUGGGUGGGGCACUUGCCCUGAGAUCCAGCCUCCAGGAAACACCAAAGAGCAGGCUGUUGGUUCACAAACUAGCCUUAGCAUGGAGGGCGAGGAGAACAAGGCAGACACUCCAGACUGGCGGGUGGCAGGUUUAAUCAGUGAGGGACCUUACAACCGAGGCUUGUCUUUGGUGACCACAAGAUGGUCUCAACAACUCAAAGCUCACUCCCGGCUGUGUCCCCCUUGGGAACUGUGGUCAGAAUGUACAUUUCAAGGAGAGGAGAGGAGGAAGUGAUCUCUGACGACCUGGGUGCAGCUCGCCAAUAGACUUCUGGUCACAUCCACUCGAUGACCACUGCCAACACAUUCCUUCGCCACACCUUCCUCAUUUCCCACAAAAUUUUCCUCUAAUUACUCCCAACAGAAGCAAGUCCACAUUACCUCAAAACCUGCUAAUUUUGCAUACAGG